rnacentral:rRNA from 1 species
GACGUAGGGCACGAGCGUUGUCCGGAUUUAUUGGGCGUAAAGAGCUCGUAGGCGGCUUGUCGCGUCGACCGUGAAAACUCGCAGCUCAACUGCGAGCCUGCGGUCGAUACGGGCAGGCUAGAGUUCGGUAGGGGAGACUGGAAUUCCUGGUGUAGCGGUGAAAUGCGCAGAUAUCAGGAGGAACACCGAUGGCGAAGGCAGGUCUCUGGGCCGAUACUGACGCUGAGGAGCGAAAGCGUGGGGAGCGAACAGG